rnacentral:lncRNA from 1 species
GGGCAUCAAGAGAUAAUGAAUUUUCUAAGCAAUCAAUAAGUGGAACAUUAGAAAUCAAAACCAUCAUGCGGGCCGGUCGUCUGAAGAAGUGAUACCAGACGUGUCAACAAGUACUAGACGACUUGACUGACCCGUCCUCGGCUGAAAGUGUUCUGCUGUUGGUGGUAAAACCUCGGAAUGCUGGUUGAACUAUUAAUGUUCUUUACACAACAAGGUCCAUUGCUUUGGAAAUUUGGCACAGUUGUGGGUUGACCAUAUGUCCUGAAAGAAGUGAACAUGUGAACUCAGGGAUUGCAUUCAGAUUUCUAGCUAAGAGACUGAGCUUGACGCAACAAUUAUGUUGUGUUUUCUAACAUAAAAAAAAAUUGUUGCAUAACCAUUCAACAAUCAAAAUAUAAGAUCAGAUCCAGGUUGGACGUAAUGUUUCUAACGUUUAUUCCCUUGCUUUUGGUCUUCUUUUAAGUUGUCCAUACCUUGCAAGAGAUGAAUACCAUGUAGGCUUGAAGACGAAAAUGCUGCCUUCUAUCUUUUCACGUGGUGCGACACCUUAGUAAAACUGAGAGUCGUGCUCUUGAUAGAGCAGUAAAUUGUACGGCAUGACUCUAUAUGAGCAAUAUGAAGAUGGAAUCCUAGAUAGAAAGAUCUACAUAUCUAGCACUACAAGUCAGAAGAGAAAGUAGUUGCAUAAUCCCAUAAUAAAAGGUUACAUAGUGAAAUGCCCUGCAAACUAAGCAACUUGUAUAGCGUGGGAUGGAUAUGAAGCAUAUGUGCAUGAUCAAGGUUAAAUUUAGAUUAUCAACAAGUUUAUCCAUGUUGUCUCUCGUGUGUGAAAAAAUAAAAUAUAUUAGGAAGAACACAAGAGCACUGAAUUCCUCUCUCUCUCCUUGUUCCUUCCUUUAUCUGAUUCAUCUUCUUUCACUACGUCAACUAUUAGAUGACUUCGAGAUCUAUGAAAGCAAAAAGAAUAGAGAGAUUGAAAUGCUUUGAGAUCUGUGCGAUGAUCCAAUGGUUGCCUUCGCCAGAGAAGAGAUCGAUACAACCGGAACCCAAAAAAAACUAAUAUUUCAGUAAAGAGCGUGCAUCCUGUAAAUGAGUAAAAGAGCAGCAACGAGAAGGAAAAAUUACCGAAAGAAAUAAAAAGGAGUGGAAGGGCAGCAACCACAUACCAGUAAGCACAAGUAACGUGCAACUCUGUUCAACAAAGAUUGGGAUGGGAACCGAUCGACAUGGUGGGCUCCCACACGCAUCCUUUUCCAUGCUUUCCACGGUCUUCCCCCACGACUCCAUACUUCAUUGCGUUGAAGGACGAACACGGAAUGACGGGAAUGACCGGCAAACCGCGCUUCCCUCCGCGUUCUCUUCCUCCCCCACAAUAAUAGCCCGCACCCAUAUCAAUACAACGCAUCCCUUCCCAUUAACAAUAAUAAUAACUUUAAUUUGUUAUUGUUAUUAUUAUUUAUUAUUAUUAUUAUUGCUUACCUUCCAUUAUCAAACUUUUC